rnacentral:rRNA from 1 species
UUGCACGCUGGCGGCAGGCCUCACACAUGCAAGUCGCGCGGAUGAAGGGAGCUUGCUCCUGGAUUCAGCGGCGGACGGGUGAGUAAUGCCUAGGAAUCUGCCUGGUAGUGGGGGAUAACGUCCGGAAACGGGCGCUAAUACCGCAUACGUCCUGAGGGAGAAAGUGGGGGAUCUUCGGACCUCACGCUAUCAGAUGAGCCUAGGUCGGAUUAGCUAGUUGGUGGGGUAAAGGCCUACCAAGGCGACGAUCCGUAACUGGCCUGAGAGGAUGAUCAGUCACACUGGAACUGAGACACGGUCCAGACUCCUACGGGAGGCAGCAGUGGGGAAUAUUGGACAAUGGGCGAAAGCCUGAUCCAGCCAUGCCGCGUGUGUGAAGAAGGUCUUCGGAUUGUAAAGCACUUUAAGUUGGGAGGAAGGGCAGUAAGUUAAUACCUUGCUGUUUUGACGUUACCAACAGAAUAAGCACCGGCUAACUUCGUG